UACGUAGGGUGCAAGCGUUAAUCGGAAUUACUGGGCGUAAAGCGUGCGCAGGCGGUUAUAUAAGACAGUUGUGAAAUCCCCGGGCUCAACCUGGGAACUGCAUCUGUGACUGUAUAGCUAGAGUACGGUAGAGGGGGAUGGAAUUCCGCGUGUAGCAGUGAAAUGCGUAGAUAUGCGGAGGAACACCGAUGGCGAAGGCAAUCCCCUGGACCUGUACUGACGCUCAUGCACGAAAGCGUGGGGAGCAAACAGG
rnacentral:rRNA from 1 species